AGAGCGAACGCUGGCGGCAUGCUUAACACAUGCAAGUCGCACGGGCAGGGCAACCUGUCAGUGGCGGACGGGUGAGUAACGCGUAGGUAUCUAUCCUUGGGUGGGGGACAACUGUGGGAAACUACAGCUAAUACCGCAUAAUAACUGAGGUUUAAAGGCGCAAGUCGCCUGGGGAGGAGCCUGCGUACGAUUAGCUAGUUGGUGGGGUAAAGGCCUACCAAGGCGACGAUCGUUAGCUGGUCUGAGAGGAUGAUCAGCCACAUUGGGACUGAGACACGGCCCAAACUCCUACGGGAGGCAGCAGUGGGGAAUAUUGGACAAUGGGCGAAAGCCUGAUCCAGCAAUGCCGCGUGUGUGAAGAAGGUCUUCGGAUUGUAAAGCACUUUCGACGGGGACGAUGAUGACGGUACCCGUAGAAGAAGCCCCGGCUAACUUCGCGCCAGCAGCCGC
rnacentral:rRNA from 1 species